rnacentral:rRNA from 1 species
UACGAAGGGGGCUAGCGUUGCUCGGAAUCACUGGGCGUAAAGGGUGCGUAGGCGGGUCUUUAAGUCAGGGGUGAAAUCCCGGAGCUCAACUUCGGAACUGCCUUUGAUACUGGGAGUCUCGAGUCCGGGAGAGGUGAGUGGAACUGCGAGUGUAGAGGUGAAAUUCGUAGAUAUUCGCAAGAACACCAGUGGCGAAGGCGGCUUACUGGUCCGGUUCUGACGCUGAGGCGCGAAAGCGUGGGGAGCAAACAGG